rnacentral:sRNA from 1 species
AGUGAGGAAGGGUUCGUGUGGUUGGUGUACAGUUCCGGGGCCCCUGGAAUGCAGCAGCCUGCAAGAAACCAGGUUUUCUUCCCAAUAGGGAUGGCCCCGGGGGGUGUCUGUUGGAGACCAGAUGGAUGGGGAACAGGUGGUCAGGGCGGAAUUUCAGGCCCUGGCAGCAUGGGAGCAGGGCAGAGACUGGGGAGUUCAGGUACCCAGAGAUGCUGCUGGGGGAGCCGUUUUGGGAAGGAGGUGGCUCUCAGGAGGGUGCUGCACCCCAGACCAGUCUGCAUGGGCGUCUCUUGCCUGUGCCAGAAGAACGAGGACGAGUGUGCCGUGUGCCGGGACGGCGGGGAGCUCAUCUGCUGUGACGGCUGCCCUCGGGCCUUCCAUCUGGCCUGCCUGUCCCCUCCGCUCCGGGAGAUCCCCAGUGGGACCUGGAGGUGCUCCAGCUGCCUGCAGGCAACAGUCCAGGAGGUGCAGCCCCGGGCAGAGGAGCCCCGGCCUCAGGAGCCACCCGUGGAGACCGCGCUCCCCCCGGGGCUUAGGUCCGUGGGAGAGGAGGUGAGAGGUCCACUUGGGGAACCCCUAGCCGGCAUGGACACGACUCUUGUCUACAAGCACCUGCCGGCCCCGCCUUCUGCAGCCCCGCUGCCAGGGCUGGACUCCUCGGCCCUGCACCCCCUACUGUGUGUGGGCCCUGAGGGGCAGCAGAACCCGGCUCCUGGUGCGCGUUGCGGGGUGUGUGGAGACGGUACGGACGUGCUGCGGUGUACUCACUGCGCUGCCGCCUUCCACUGGCGCUGCCACUUCCCAGCGGGCGCCUCCCAGCCCGGGACGGGCCUGCGCUGCAGAUCCUGCUCAGGAGACGUGACCCUGGCCCCUGUGGAGGGGGUGCUGGCCCCCAGCCCCGCCCACCUGGCCCCUGGGCCUGCCAAGGAUGACACUGCUAGUCACGAGCCCGCUCUGCACAGGGAGGACCUGGAGAGCCUUCUGAGCGAGCACACCUUCGACGGCAUCCUGCAGUGGGCCAUCCAGAGCAUGGCCCGCCCAGCUGCUCCCUUCCCCUCCUGACCCCGGACGGCCGGGACAUGCAGCUCUGAUGGGAGGGUGCCGAGAAGGACAUCUCCUUCCUCAGCCCUGGAAGCCGGCCGGCUGGGAUCAAGAAGGGGACAGCGCCACCUCUUGUCAGUCCUUGGCUGUAAACAGCCCUGUGUUUCUGGGGACACCAGCCAUCAUGUGCCUGGAAAUUAAAACCUGCCCCACCUCUCACUCUGGAAGUCCCCAGGGGCCUCUCCUUGCCUGGUGACCUACUAAAAAUAUAAAAAUUAGCUG